GAUGAAGAACGUAGCGAAAUGCGAUAAGUAGUGUGAAUUGCAGAAUUCAGUGAAUCAUCGAAUCUUUGAACGCACAUUGCGCCCCUUGGUAUUCCAUGGGGCAUGCCUGUUCGAGCGUCAUUUGUACCUUCAAGCUUUGCUUGGUGUUGGGUGUUUGUCUCGCCUUUGCGUGUAGACUCGCCUUAAAAUAAUUGGCAGCCAGCGUAUUGAUUUCGGAGCGCAGUACAUCUCGCGCUUUGCACUCAUAACGACAGCGUCCAAAAGUACAUUUUACACUCUUGACCUCGGAUCAGGUAGGGAUACCCGCUGAACUUAAGCAUAUCAAUAAGCGGAGGA
rnacentral:misc_RNA from 1 species